UAAAAAUACCUAUUUGCGGAUGCCAUUAAAAAUAUAAUAGCUAACCAUCAAGAAAAAUACCAUAAACGAGUCCAACACAACACAAAUAAAAAAGAUACCAGCAUCUUCUUGAAAUGGGUAACUCAUAUAACCCUACUAAGUAUAGUUUUAAUCAUAUGUUCAUAACAUGUAUCCAAGUCAUACUUUCUGGAUACACACACAAAAAGGCUUUGACUACUUACGAAUGGCAUGUAGAAUGUAAUGGGUGAAUGGAUGUUCCAUAUAAAGAGUGCGACCAACUACAUACGCCUCAUUACACAAUAAUAUCUUUCGUUAAUAUUCUAGCUCCCAGAAAAUGAUCAAUUUUGAAUAACUCAUUCCUUUCAGGAUCUAGUUGUAAAUCAAAAACUACUCCAACAAAUUUUUUUUACUCGCAGCCAAAUAACUAAAAAUGUAUCCCCCUACAAUUCACUCCAAGUACUUGCAUAAUUUUCAGCCACAACUGAUAUUUAUUUCAUAUAAAAGUGAAAAGUUUUGAUAGAUACACUAGCA
rnacentral:lncRNA from 1 species